rnacentral:misc_RNA from 1 species
CAGAAGGGACUGCCUUCCCCUCAGUGCUCGCCCCUCCCUAGUGAUCACUCAGUGCCCCUGAGCUCAUUCUUUUCAGUAAAUUCUCUCUCUGCGUGGUGAGAAAACAGGCCUGGAGAGGCUCUGCGACCCGCUUAGGACCACAGAACUCGAGAAUUACCUUUUCCAGGGACGGCAGGAAUGCUACGCGUUUAAUGGGACACAGCGCUUCCUGGAGAGAUACAUCUACAACCGGGAGGAGUUCGCGCGCUUCGACAGCGACGUGGGGGAGUUCCGGGCGGUGACGGAGCUGGGGCGGCCUGCUGCGGAGUACUGGAACAGCCAGAAGGACAUCCUGGAGGAGAAGCGGGCAGUGCCGGACAGGAUGUGCAGACACAACUACGAGCUGGGCGGGCCCAUGACCCUGCAGCGCCGAGUCCAGCCU